AGCCUUUAGCUAAUACAAGUAUUAAAGGUCCCGCCUGCCCAGUGAGAUAUUUACUUAAACGGCCGCGGUAUUCUAACCGUGCAAAGGUAGCGUAAUCACUUGUCUUCUAAAUAAAGACCAGUAUGAACGGCUAAAUGAGGACAAACCUGUCUCUUAUAACCAAUCAGUGAAACUGAUCUUCCAAUACAAAAGUUGGAAUACGCACAUAAGACGAGAAGACCCCGUGGAGCUUUAAACUAGGCCACUAAUCCGCACCUAAACCUAGUGCCCAGUUUUAAGUUGGGGCGACUUCGGAAUAAAACAAAACUUCCGAGCACAGAACCACAGCUUCUAACCAAGACCCACAAGUCUAAGUAAUACACGACCCGGCCCACGCCGAUCAACGAACCAAGUUACCCCGGGGAUAACAGCGCUAUCUUCUUCAAGAGUCCCUAUCAACAAGAAGGUUUACGACCUCGAUGUUGGAUCAGGACACCCAAAUGGUGCAGCCGCUAUUAAAGGUUCGUUUGUUCAACGAUUAACAGUCCUACGUGAUCUGAGUUCAGACCGGAGAAAUCCAGGUCGGUUUCU
rnacentral:rRNA from 1 species